CACUCUUCCUGCCCUCGAGGAGCUCACAGUCUAGUACGUGCCACCCUACUAGACUGGCGCUCCUUGAGGACAGGGGUCGUCAUACUCGCCCGCG
rnacentral:miRNA from 1 species